rnacentral:rRNA from 1 species
GAUGAACGCUGGCGGCGUGCCUAAUACAUGCAAGUCGAGCGAACAGACGUGGUUCUUGUUCCUCUGACGUUAGCGGCGGAUGGGUGAGUAACAUGUGGAUAACCUCCCUAUAAGAAUGGGAUAACUUCGGGAAACCGGGGCUAAUACCGGAUAAUAUAUUGAACCGCAUGGUUCACUCGUGUAAGACGGUUUUGCUGUCACUUCUAGAUGGUUCCGCGCCGCUUUAGCGUGGUGGUAAGGUAAGGGCUUUCCACGGCAACGAUGCGUAGCCGACCUGGGAGGUUGAUCGGCCACCCUGCAAUUGAGACACGGUCCAGACUCCGACGGGAGGCAGCAGUAGGGAACCUUCCGAAAUGGGCGAAAGCCUGACGGAGCAACGCCGCAUGAGUGAUGAAGGUCUUCGGAUCUUAAAACUCUAUUAUUAGGGAAGAACAAAUGUGUAUGUAACUAUGCACGUCUUGACGGUACCUAAUCAAAAAGCCACGGCUAACUACGUG